UCUUCCAUACAAUGAGUUCUUUGGUGGUGUAAGUGGCCUGACAGUGGAACAAUUCAAGAAGAUCAAUGGGUUUCCAAAUGCCUUUUGGGGAUGGGGUGGAGAAGAUGAUGAUCUUUGGAACAGGGUUCACUAUGCUGGAUACAAUGUAACAAGACCAGAGGGAGAUUUAGGGAAGUACAAAUCCAUUCCUCAUCAUCACAGAGGUGAAGUCCAGUUUUUAGGACGAUAUAAACUUCUGAGGUAUUCCAGAGAACGUCAGUAUAUUGAUGGGUUGAACAAUUUAAUAUAUACUCCUAAAAUACUUGUCAGUAGAUUGUAUAAAAAUAUAACUGUUAAUCUGAUACCAGAACUUGCUCCUGUUAGAGACUAUUGAUGGAAGUGGAAUGACAAGCUACCCUACCAGAAUAAACUUUUAACACUGGAAGCUACUAAUAGUCACUGUAAAACCAAACCAAACCAAACCAACAAACAGCAGCUUAGAAUUAGAGAUUUUUGACCACUUGGUGAUGCGUAUUUGGGAUGAGAAGUAAAGUGAUUGUAUGUACCAUGCAUUUUGUUCUGAAAGAAAAGCCAGCAGCUACCACUCAGAUGUUUACAGCAUGAGACUACUGUUCAAGCCUUCAUUCUUCAUAUUCUCUAUCUUAACCCCUCAACUAAAUAAACUGCAGAAAACAGACUUGUAGCUUCUCUGGAAGUAGGGGCAAAGGCCUCUUCUUCCAGGAAUUUUUUAUACUAAACCACCCCCUGUCGUAUUUAAAUGAAUGCUUUUGUUUCUUUCUAAAAUGUGUUUUGUAAAUAUGUGAUGUAAAUUAAUGUGUGUACAUUGCUUUUAAAUUGCUCAAUAUUUUAUGCUUCAGUGUGUAUUUGAGUGUGUUCUUGUUUGAAUUCUAUAGGAAUGUUUUUAUUAGCAUGAAAGAACAAGUGUAAAAUGUAAGUAUGCUUAAAAAAAGGUUAUACCUUAUGUGAAAUGAAGGAAAUAUUAAUUGUUGGCCAGCUAUGACUGUAAACUGUUAUACUAGUUUUGAGCUCUAGGCCUCCUGCAUAUCUAUAUAGAAAAAUCAAUUCCGUAUAUGAACUUGCUAGAAAGAAAGCUUUUAAUUUUAUUUAUUGCCAGCAAAAUUGUAUGAUACCCUGCCUGCCAUCUAAAUCCUAUUUAUAUGCAUAUUGCAUGUGUAUUAUGGAAAAUCUUGCGGUUGUUGCGUAUUAUGAUCUACAGGAAAUCUAAAUGUUUCCAAGUGUGCCACUAGUGUCAAUGUCAGGGAUUUUAAUGCCUAAAACAAUGUGUCUGGGUGCGUACAGUAUUUUGGUAUUGUUCUUUUUUUUUAAAAUCCUAGUAAACAGCACUUUUCUUCCUCCAAAAUCAGAAGAGCCAAAAAUGUGUCUUCAUUGGAAGAAUAUUAAAGUUACAUUUUUAAGAAAAUAAUAAAACAUAGUUCUAAUAGUUCUAAUGCUUGCGGUGUGGGAUUUUCAGAAGCACGGUGUUGGUCAGACUGUUCUGAUGAUGAUGAUGGCAUAAGCGGAACUGAAUGCAGGCCAAUUCCAAGUGCUUUUUAAAAUUCCACCCAUAAUAUAUUAAUCAAUAUAGCUAUUUAAGGGCCUGUUCUGGUAGAGUGCUGAGUGCUUCUAUGAUGCACUAAGUGUCCUCAAGUCAAUGACUUUCAAUGAGAUUGAGGUUGCGCAGUCCCGCUAAAGAUUGGUCCUGUCUAUUUCUCUAUUUUUGUGGUGUUAUAUGUAUAGGUAACUAGCCUCUUUCCUUGGCUUAUAAUGAAAAACAGAUCUUCUUAUUUUCUGUUUGCUUGUAAUGUUAUGCUACCUAAAAGUAUCCCACUGCUAAGCAUUAUUAACUUUUCCAAAUAUUUUUUUACAUCGCUUGUUAAUACUAAGGAAAAGGACCAGAACAUUUAUUUUCUGUUAAUGCAAGGGUAUUGACCAAGAUCUACUAAACUCUUUUGUUUGUCACAGUUACUCAACUCUUUAGGAACCAAAGACUGACUCCUGCUCCCAUGAAGAAUGGAAAGCACUAUACAAUAAGGAUUGUUUAUCCACAGAGUGUUCUGUAAGAGUGUUGACAAAGAAUACUAACUUUAACUCAUUACUGUGUGUUGGUUUCCUACAUUGCUGCCACAGAUGGUGUGGUGCUUUGUGUAUAUGAGUUUGUUUGCCAUAAACACCUUUUAUUUCUUUGACAUCCCAGCAACAAAUUUUGCCCUUAGCCAUUCUUCAGUAAAGUUAUGAGCUUAGUUGUAGGCAUCUCAAAUAUUUAGUAGAAAUGUAAUGAUUUAUUUUAAGUAGUUGAGAACAAUUGUAAGGGAUAUUUUAAACUGUAUUGGAAUUACCUUAAAAUCUACCAGUUAAUCUAAUAUGCUUUAGGAAUGAUGUAGUGCAAUGAAAAUAACAAAAAGCAUAAAGUGAACAAAACAUCCUUCAAAAGCAUGCUUAAGUGGUUUGAUCACCUCCUGAUAUAUUUUUCUAUAACUGAAUGUAUAGAAUAUUCUGAAGCAUAUGGAUAAAGGGGAGAUAAUUAAUACACUGUAUGAGCAAUUAUAUCUUCAAAAUAAAAUUAGUCUUAUUUCGUAACAGACUAAUACAAUUCUUGAAGAAUGGUUGAACAAAUUUUUAAAUCCCUGAUGUAAUUUUGAAGUGAUUUCUGGUUUUCAGUACAAGUUCACCUACAAUCUAACACCUAUGAUUCUGAAACAUCCUUUGAUACUGUAGGUCUGUACUGUUUUCUGAAGCAUGCUUUUGUGCCCAUUUGUUAGGCAUUCUGUGAAAUUCAUGUGCAAUUUUCUAAAAAUUCUAAUGCAUAUAUAUGUAUAUAUACAUACAUAUAUACACACUAUAUUACACAUAAGCUGUGGCUGAACUGAUAUAACUUUACAGCUCUAAGUGAUUAAUCAUGUAUGGUUGUAGAAAAAUGUGAUUUAAACCACUAUGUGAAUGGAUUAUGACAUAUAGCUGAGUUCUUAAAAAGUUUACAUUUUGGUGCCCCAAAGUGAUGGAUGUUAAAUUAUGAAUUGUUAACCGACACUCUUCUCUAAAUACCUUUUAUCACUUUGUUGGGAAGUUUUGAAAGUUGCCAUCCUAAAUUACAUCGAAGAUAGUGUUUGUAUACUACCUGCUUGAACUCAGUACUAUUCUGUAGUGAAUUUUAACAUAGACAGUGCCUUCAAACAAAAUAAAUGCGAUGCAGAACUAAGAGUUGUGCACAUUCCUUUUGAUAUUUUCAUGAUUCUUGUAAAAUGUAGAGAGAAGCCAAUCACAUUGGCUUUUGCAUUGCUGACAAGGCAAAUUAAGGACGUCCUCUCUUCAAGGAGUGAACAUGGAGGGAGAAGAAAGAGGGAAUAUUUUACAAGAUACUGAAAGUCUUGCAAAUUAACAAGUAAAAACAUUACAGAAAUAUUAACAGUGGAAUCUGGUUGAUAUGCUAAGAUACUCUUAAGCCCAUUUGCUGUAUUUCACAUUUAAGUAGGAGAAUAUAAAAUAUAAAAUCCAUUUUGCAAUAGACAGCAUAUUGAAAAGGAAGUGCAAAAUGUCCUUUUUCUUGGAUCUUGCCAGUCUAUUUUUCUAUCAUUAUGUUUACUAAUGACUAUGUUGUAGUGGGUUACUAAUGAGCCAAUUAUUUAAAAAUAUUAAAAGGAUCCAUUGCAUAUCAGCAAGAAGUGUACUUAAGAUUAUUUUAUUUGUAGAGGUAUGUAAGAUAGGCUUAAUGAAAAAUGCACUGAAACAAAUGCUGGGAAUUUCCUGUGUACUAUCAUAGUUUUGUUUUUUGUUGUUCAUGAAAAUGUUUGUACUUUUUUAUCAUUGUCUUUUAUGAAAUAUAAUGUUCUAAAGAU